UACGUAGGGGGCUAGCGUUGUCCGGAUUUAUUGGGCGUAAAGAGCGUGUAGGCGGCCAGGUAGGUCUGGUGUGAAAACUCGAGGCUUAACCUCGAGAUGUCAUCGGAAACCAUUUGGCUAGAGUCCGGAAGAGGAGAGUGGAAUUCCUGGUGUAGCGGUGAAAUGCGCAGAUAUCAGGAGGAACACCUGUGGCGAAAGCGGCUCACUGGACCACAACUGACGCUGAGGCGCGAAAGCUAGGGGAGCAAACAGG
rnacentral:rRNA from 1 species